AUUGAACGCUGGCGGCAGGCCUAACACAUGCAAGUCGAACGGUAACAGGAAGAAGCUUGCUUCUUUGCUGACGAGUGGCGGACGGGUGAGUAAUGUCUGGGAAACUGCCUGAUGGAGGGGGAUAACUACUGGAAACGGUAGCUAAUACCGCAUAACGUCGCAAGACCAAAGAGGGGGACCUUCGGGCCUCUUGCCAUCGGAUGUGCCCAGAUGGGAUUAGCUAGUGGGUGGGGUAACGGCUCACCUAGGCGACGAUCCCUAGCUGGUCUGAGAGGAUGACCAGCCACACUGGAACUGAGACACGGUCCAGACUCCUACGGGAGGCAGCAGUGGGGAAUAUUGCACAAUGGGCGCAAGCCUGAUGCAGCCAUGCCGCGUGUAUGAAGAAGGCCUUCGGGUUGUAAAGUACUUUCAGCGGGGAGGAAGGGAGUAAAGUUAAUACCUUUGCUCAUUGACGUUACCCGCAGAAGAAGCACUGGCUAACUCCGUGCCAGCAGCCGCCGUAACAC
rnacentral:rRNA from 1 species